rnacentral:rRNA from 1 species
AGGCGUAUUCGGAAAUGCGCCUGGAACUAAA